rnacentral:rRNA from 1 species
GCAAGUCGAGCGGACCGACGGGAGCUUGCUCCCUUAGGUCAGCGGCGGACGGGUGAGUAACACGUGGGUAACCUGCCUGUAAGACUGGGAUAACUCCGGGAAACCGGGGCUAAUACCGGAUGCUUGAUUGAACCGCAUGGUUCAAUCAUAAAAGGUGGCUUUUAGCUACCACUUACAGAUGGACCCGCGGCGCAUUAGCUAGUUGGUGAGGUAACGGCUCACCAAGGCGACGAUGCGUAGCCGACCUGAGAGGGUGAUCGGCCACACUGGGACUGAGACACGGCCCAGACUCCUACGGGAGGCAGCAGUAGGGAAUCUUCCGCAAUGGACGAAAGUCUGACGGAGCAACGCCGCGUGAGUGAUGAAGGUUUUCGGAUCGUAAAACUCUGUUGUUAGGGAAGAACAAGUACCGUUCGAAUAGGGCGGUACCUUGACGGUACCUAACCAGAAAGCCACGGCUAACUACGUGCCAGCAGCCGCGGUAAUACGUAGGUGGCAAGCGUUGUCCGGAAUUAUUGGGCGUAAAGCGCGCGCAGGCGGUUUCUUAAGUCUGAUGUGAAAGCCCCCGGCUCAACCGGGGAGGGUCAUUGGAAACUGGGGAACUUGAGUGCAGAAGARGAGAGUGGAAUUCCACGUGUAGCGGUGAAAUGCGUAGAGAUGUGGAGGAACACCAGUGGCGAAGGCGACUCUCUGGUCUGUAACUGACGCUGARGCGCGAAAGCGUGGGGAGCGAACAGGAUUAGAUACCCUGGUAGUCCACGCCGUAAACGAUGAGUGCUAAGUGUUAGAGGGUUUCCGCCCUUUAGUGCUGCAGCAAACGCAUUAAGCACUCCGCCCUGGGGAGUACGGUCGCAAGACUGAAACUCAAAGGAAUUGACGGGGGCCCGCACAAGCGGUGGAGCAUGUGGUUUAAUUCGAAAGCAACGCGAAGAACCUUACCAGGUCUUGACAUCCUCUGAC